GACGAACGCUGGCGGCGUGCCUAAUACAUGCAAGUCGAGCGAAGCGGCGGACGGGUGAGUAUCACGUAAGGAACCUACCGAUAAGCGGGGGACAACAUCCGGAAACGGGUGCUAAUACCGCAUACUUAUCGAUGGCCUUGCGGUGCAUUAGCUAGUUGGUGGGGUAACGGCCUACCAAGGCCAUGAUGCAUAGCCGACCUGAGAGGGUAAUCGGCCACAUUGGGACUGAGACACGGCCCAAACUCCUACGGGAGGCAGCAGUAGGGAAUCUUCCGCAAUGGACGAAAGUCUGACGGAGCAACGCCGCGUGAGUGAAGACGGCCUUCGGGUUGUAAAGUACUUUCAGCGAGGAGGCGUUACUCGAAGAAGAAGCACCGGCUAACUACGUGCCAGCAGCCGCGGUAAUAC
rnacentral:rRNA from 1 species